GGAGAGAUGACCGAGUUGUUUAAGGCGUAGCAUUGGAACUACUAUGUUGGCUUUUGUUUACCGAGAGUUCGAAUCCCUCUCUUUCCA